UCUCUUGAGAGCCAUAUGGAGGGAGGUAUUUCUGACACCCCUACAUAUGCUCCCAGGACAGC
rnacentral:pre_miRNA from 1 species